ACGGGUGAGUAACGCGUGGGAAUCUACCCUUGACUACGGAAUAACGCAGGGAAACUUGUGCUAAUACCGUAUGUGUCCUUCGGGAGAAAGAUUUAUCGGUCAAGGAUGAGCCCGCGUUGGAUUAGCUAGUUGGUGGGGUAAAGGCCUACCAAGGCGACGAUCCAUAGCUGGUCUGAGAGGAUGAUCAGCCACAUUGGGACUGAGACACGGCCCAAACUCCUACGGGAGGCAGCAGUGGGGAAUAUUGGACAAUGGGCGCAAGCCUGAUCCAGCCAUGCCGCGUGAGUGAUGAAGGCCCUAGGGUUGUAAAGCUCUUUCACCGGAGAAGAUAAUGACGGUAUCCGGAGAAGAAGCCCCGGCUAACUUCGUGCCAGCAGCCGCGGUAAUACGAAGGGGGCUAGCGUUGUUCGGAAUUACUGUGCGUAAAGCGCACGUAUGCGGAUCGAUCAGUCAGGGGUGAAAUCCCAGGGCUCAACCCUGGAACUGCCUUUGAUACUGUCGAUCUGGAGUAUGGAAGAGGUGAGUGGAA
rnacentral:rRNA from 1 species